rnacentral:rRNA from 1 species
GACGAACCGUGCGAACGUUAUUCGGAAUCACUGGGCUUAAAGGGCGCGUAGGCGGGCGGACAAGUCGGGGGUGAAAUCGUUCGGCCCAACCGGACAAGGGCCCCCGAUACUGGCCGUCUCGAGGGAGGUAGGGGUCGAUGGAACUUCCGGUGGAGCGGUGAAAUGCGUAGAUAUCAGGAGGAACACCGAUGGCGAAGGCAGGUCUCUGGGCUGACACUGACGCUCAUGCACGAAAGCGUGGGGAGCAAACAGG